rnacentral:rRNA from 1 species
AGUCAAGUAAUUAAGUGCAUGUGGUGGAUGCCUUGGCAGUCAGAGGCGAUGAAAGACGUGAUAGCCUGCGAAAAGCUCCGGGGAGGCGGCAAAUAUCCUUUGAUCCGGAGAUGUCUGAAUGGGGGAACCCACCUACUUUAAGGUAGGUAUUGCAACAUGAAUACAUAGUGUUGCAAGGCGAACGAGGGGAAGUGAAACAUCUCAGUACCCUUAGGAAAAGAAAUCAAUUGAGAUUCCCUCAGUAGCGGCGAGCGAACGGGGAUCAGCCCAUUAAGUUAUGUGUGUUUUAGUGGAACGCUCUGGGAAGUGCGAACGUAGAGGGUGAUAUUCCCGUACACGAAAGGGCACACAUAAUGAUGACGAGUAGGGCGAGGCACGUGAAACCUUGUCUGAAUAUGGGGGGACCAUCCUCCAAGGCUAAAUACUCCUGACUGACCGAUAGUGAACCAGUACCGUGAGGGAAAGGCGAAAAGAACCCCUGUGAGGGGAGUGAAAUAGAUCCUGAAACCGCAUGCAUACAAGCAGUGGGAGCACCUUCGUGGUGUGACUGCGUACCUUUUGUAUAAUGGGUCAGCGACUUAUAUUCAGUAGCGAGGUUAACCGUAUAGGGGAGCCGUAGAGAAAUCGAGUCUUAAUAGGGCGUUUAGUUGCUGGGUAUAGACCCGAAACCAGGCGAUCUAUCCAUGAGCAGGUUGAAGGUUGGGUAACACUAACUGGAGGACCGAACCCACUGUCGUUGAAAAGCCAGGGGAUGACUUGUGGAUAGGGGUGAAAGGCUAAUCAAGCCUGGUGAUAGCUGGUUCUCCCCGAAAGCUAUUUAGGUAGCGCCUCGGACGAAUACCAUAGGGGGUAGAGCACUGU